rnacentral:lncRNA from 1 species
AGUAAACAGUCAAUGGCAGCUGUUAUCAUCAUAAUCGUUGUACUCGCCCAGUGAGCCAGACAAUCAAGCUCUCAAAUGUUUAUGGAGACUCUAUUAUAUUAUAUAGUACAAGUUGUGCUAGGUAGGUACUAUUGGAAGAUAUAAAAACUCAUUCUGUAUAAUUCUUUCCCUCUAGUUGGGAAGCUCUGCCUUAUUACCAGACCUGCAGGAUAAGUUCAGAAAAGAAGAGAGUCCUUGAGGCUGGAGUGCCCUGGAGAGGCUUCAUGCAGUCCAUGGGACUGGAGGUGGGCUUUUCAUGCCCAAUAAAUAUCAUGAUGAUCAGAAAGGCUGCCUGGCUGAAAUAAGAUUUUAAAUCAUUUAUUUAUUCAUUUCUGCACAAAAUCUUGACCAGGCACUUACUGAGUGUGAAGUCCUGUGGGAUGGGAUGUUGCCUAACAGUGGUGAUGUGAUAUCUGGUGGGGAGGGGCUGGGAAAUAAUCCCUUAAUACAUGUAUAUUGAAACUCUGCUCUAUUUUAGAGGUAAUCUGGAUGUCAGGUUAGGACAUAAUCCCCACCUGGCAGCUGUUAAAUAAGAAAGAUAGACAUAUCCAGCGUUUUAUAUCCAAGGGCUUUUUCAUACAUUGUCUCUUUCCAGUAAGUUAAAUAGAGAAGUUGCUUUUAAUCCCUUGUUAUAGGUGAGAGAUUUGGGGCUCAGGGAGGUUCUGUAUCAUGCCCAAGUUCAGC